GCUUUCUGUUCCCUGCCCUGUGCUCCCUGUCUGAUCUGCUGCUCUGCUCCCUGCUUAAUCUGAUGCUGUGCUGUCUGCCUCCUCCUCAAUCUGCUGAGUGCCACACACAGAGGCUGCCCAUGCCACAGAUUGGCCACCCCUGCCCUAAAAUGACUUCUCUCCAGAGCUCUUUUACAGCCAUUUAUUUUCCAUCAUUGCACAGGAUGUCUCGUGAAGUUUCCUGUUUGGAAGUUCAAGUGGACAGUGGAUGGAUGAAGGAAGAAGACACAGAGAAAAACUUCAUAUUUACUGUGAAAGGAUCAUAUGAAGAGACUCAGAAACUUUCACUGGACUCCUACUCUCACCCUACAGAUCCUAUUGUAUUCCAUUAUACCAAGUAUAAUCAAUCAGAAUUAAAGAUUCUGCUACCAGAAGAGAAACCAUGUUCCUGUUUGGGCAGAACCAUCAAUGUCAAGACAAAAGACUGA
ensembl:lncRNA